rnacentral:rRNA from 2 species
CAUAGGUUAAUGAGGCGAACCGGGGGAACUGAAACAUCUAAGUACCCCGAGGAAAAGAAAUCAACCGAGAUUCCCCCAGUAGCGGCGAGCGAACGGGGAGGAGCCCAGAGCCUGAAUCAGUGUGUGUGUUAGUGGAAGCGUCUGGAAAGGCGCGCGAUACAGGGUGACAGCCCCGUACACAAAAAUGCACAUACUGUGAGCUCGAUGAGUAGGGCGGGACACGUGGUAUCCUGUCUGAAUAUGGGGGGACCAUCCUCCAAGGCUAAAUACUCCUGACUGACCGAUAGUGAACCAGUACCGUGAGGGAAAGGCGAAAAGAACCCCGGCGAGGGGAGUGAAAAAGAACCUGAAACCGUGUACGUACAAGCAGUGGGAGCCUCUUAAUGGGGUGACUGCGUACCUUUUGUAUAAUGGGUCAGCGACUUAUAUUCUGUAGCAAGGUUAACCGAAUAGGGGAGCCGAAGGGAAACCGAGUCUUAACUGGGCGUUAAGUUGCAGGGUAUAGACCCGAAACCCGGUGAUCUAGCCAUGGGCAGGUUGAAGGUUGGGUAACACUAACUGGAGGACCGAACCGACUAAUGUUGAAAAAUUAGCGGAUGACUUGUGGCUGGGGGUGAAAGGCCAAUCAAACCGGGAGAUAGCUGGUUCUCCCCGAAAGCUAUUUAGGUAGCGCCUCGUGAAUUCAUCUCCGGGGGUAGAGCACUGUUUCGGCAAGGGGGUCAUCCCGACUUACCAACCCGAUGCAAACUGCGAAUACCGGAGAAUGUUAUCACGGGAGACACACGGCGGGUGCUAACGUCCGUCGUGAAGAGGGAAACAACCCAGACCGCCAGCUAAGGUCCCAAAGUCAUGGUUAAGUGGGAAACGAUGUGGGAAGGCCCAGACAGCCAGGAUGUUGGCUUAGAAGCAGCCAUCAUUUAAAGAAAGCGUAAUAGCUCACUGGUCGAGUCGGCCUGCGCGGAAGAUGUAACGGGGCUAAACCAUGCACCGAAGCUGCGGCAGCGACACUAUGUGUUGUUGGGUAGGGGAGCG